UGCAUACUUACUUUUAAAGUAAGUGUUUAUUAUCUAUCAUGCUUCCAAGAAAAGCUCGAACUACCUAUAAAUAUAAAAUACCUGUACCGUAAACCGACACAGGUAGGUUAGUAGAGUAUACUAAGGGGCGCGAGAUAACUCUCUCUAAGGAACUCGGCAAAAUGACCCCGUAACUUCGGGAGAAGGGGUGCCCUCUGAAAGGAGGGCCGCAGUGACCAGGCCCUGGCGACUGUUUAUCAAAAACAUAGGUCUCCGCAAAGUCGUAAGACAACAUAUGGGGGCUGACGCCUGCCCAGUGCCGGAAGGUUAAGGAAGUAGGUUAGGAUUUAUCCGAAGCUUACGACUGAAGCCCCGGUGAACGGCGGCCGUAACGAUAACGGUCCUAAGGUAGCGAAAUUCCUUGUCGGGUAAGUUCCGACCCGCACGAAAGGCGUAACGAUCAGGGCACUGUCUCGGAGAGAGACUCGGUGAAAUAGACAUGUCUGUGAAGAUGCGGACUACUUGCACCUGGACAGAAAGACCCUAUGAAGCUUGACUGUAGCUUGGAAUUGGGUUCGGGCUUCUCUUGCGCAGCCUAGGUGGGAGGCUAUGAAGAGACACUUCUGGGUGUUUUGGAGCCAUCAGUGAGAGACCACUCUGGAGAAGCUAGAAUUCUAAUGGCGUUCCUUGAAGCAGGACGCUUGACAGUUUCAGGUGGGCAGUUUGACUGGGGCGGUCACCUCCUAAAAGGUAACGGAGGUGUGCAAAGGUUCCCUCAGGCUGGACGGAAAUCAGCCGUAGAGUGUAAAGGCAGAAGGGAGCUUGACUGCAAGACCUACAAGUCGAGCAGGGGCGAAAGCCGGCCUUAGUGAUCCGACGGUUCCGUGUGGAAGGGCCGUCGCUAAACGGAUAAAAGUUACUCUAAGGAUAACAGGCUGAUCUUCCCCAAGAGUUCACAUCGACGGGAAGGUUUGGCACCUCGAUGUCGGCUCAUCGCAACCUGGGGCGGUAGUACGUCCCAAGGGUUGGGCUGUUCGCCCAUGAAAGCGGUACGUGAGCUGGGUUCAGAACGUCGUGAGACAGUUCGGUCCAUAUCCGGUGUAAGCGUUGGAGCAUUGAGAGGAUUCUUCCAUAGUACGAGAGGACCUGGAAGAACACACCUCUGGUAUACCAGUUAUCACGCCAGUGGUAAACGCUGGGUAGCCAAGUGUGGAGUGGAUAACCGCUGAAAGCAUCUAAGUGGGAAGCCCACCUCAAGAUGAGUGCUCCCUAUGAGGUCACGGCAAGACCAGCCGUUUGAUAGGCAGUAGGUGUACGUCUAGUAAUAGAUUUAGCUGAGCUGUACUAAUAGACCCAUU
rnacentral:rRNA from 1 species